UACGGGGGAUGCAAGCGUUAUCCGGAAUCAUUGGGCGUAAAGCGCCUGUAGGUGGUUUAAUAAGUCUGUUGUUAAAGACUAGGGCUUAACCCUAGGAAAGCAAUGGAAACUACUAGACUAGAGUAUGGCAGGGGUAGAGGGAAUUUCUAGUGUAGCGGUGAAAUGCGUAGAUAUUAGAAAGAACACCGGUGGCGAAAGCGCUCUACUGGACCAUUACUGACACUCAGAGGCGAAAGCUAGGGUAGCAAAAGGGAUUAGAUACCCCUGUAGUCCUAGCCGUAAACGAUGGAUACUAGAUGUUGUGUGUUGUAUACAGUAUCGUAGCUAACGCGUUAAGUAUCCCGCCUGGGGAGUACGGCCGCAAGGUUA
rnacentral:rRNA from 1 species